rnacentral:rRNA from 1 species
UGCCGGAUAAUAUUUAGAACCGCAUGGUUCUAAAGUGAAAGAUGGUUUUACUAUCACUUAUAGAUGGACCCGCGCCGUAUUAGCUAGUUGGUGGGGUAAUGGCUUACCAAGGCAACGAUACGUAGCCGACCUGAGAGGGUGAUCGGCCACACUGGAACUGAGACACGGUCCAG